rnacentral:rRNA from 1 species
AGUACCCCCGGUUCCCGUACGAUCACUGAAGUUAAGCAACAUCGAUCCUGGUUAGUUCCUAGAUGGGUGAUCUUUUGGGAAUACCAGGUGCCGUAAG